rnacentral:sRNA from 1 species
UGAAUCUACAAAAGGAGUCAACUGCAGC